rnacentral:rRNA from 1 species
UACAGAGGAUGCAAGCGUUAUCCGGAAUGAUUGGGCGUAAAGCGUCUGUAGGUGGCUUUUUAAGUCCGCCGUCAAAUCCCAGGGCUCAACUCUGGACAGGCGGUGGAAACUACCAAGCUGGAGUACGGUAGGGGCAGAGGGAAUUUCCGGUGUAGCGGUGGAAUGCGCAGAUAUCAGGAGGAACACCGAUGGCGAAGGCAGAUCUCUGGGCCGUAACUGACGCUGAGGAGCGAAAGCGUGGGGAGCGAACAGG